rnacentral:lncRNA from 1 species
GGCUAAACACACACCCCAUUCUACAAAAAUGUAGACAGAGGGGCAAGUGGCCAAGAGUAAACCUCACCUACGGAAGAACGUAGGUUAGACGAGGGACGUACUCAAGAGUAAACCUCACCUACGGAAGAACGUAGGUUAGACGAGGGACGUACUCAAGAACAAUCCUCACCCACGGAUGAACGUAGGAAGACGAGGAGUCACACUUAGCCUCAGUCGCAGAAAGGCGAGCAAAAGGAGGGGGCAAGUAUUCAAGUAAUAGUCCUCACCCACGGACGAACGCGGGUAGACGAGGAAGCACAAUCAGCCCCUAUCGCGGAAAGGCGGAAAAAAAGAGGGGGCAAGUAUUCAAGUAAUAGUCCUCACCCACGGAUGAACGCGGGUAGACGAGGAAGCACAAUCAACCCCUAUCGCAGAAAGGCGGAAAAAAGGAGGGGGCAAGUAUUCAAGUAAUAGUCCUCACCCACGGAUGAACGCGGGUAGACGAGGAAGCACAAUCAGCCCCUAUCGC